AUUUGGCGCAGAAAGUAAGGCAGGCCGUGGAAGGUAGGUGUAAAGGAGUAGAUACAGCUUGGAAUUUGGAAACCGACUAAAGUCGACGACCCCACAACGCCAUUACUACCCGCUCUGCACACUCUUCAUCUUCAAGUCUCUGUGUCUCUCUCUGUCAAUCCUCAUUCCUCUGGGCCCCGUCUUACCAAUCUCCUUCUCAACUUCAAUUUCAAGUUGAAAAUGGGAACCAAAGCACCAAGCUGGGCUGAUCAGUGGGGUUCAGGAGAUUAUGGAGUUGAAGACGAUGACAACACGGCAAUGACGAAGAAAGGGAGCAGCAAUGGCAAUAGUAGCAAGAAGAUGGCAGAGGUAAAGGCAGCAGCCUCAGCUGGAUUUGUGAAGGCCAAGUCUGCUGCAGCAGUUGGUGCUC